rnacentral:lncRNA from 1 species
GCCUGUAGUCCCAGCUACUCGGGAGGCUGAGGUGGAAGAAUGGCAUGAACCUGGGAGGUGGAGCUUGCAGUGAGCCAAGAUCGUGCCACUGCACUCCAGCCUGGAUGACAGAGCGAGACUCCGUCUCAAAAAAAGAAAAAAUUAAUAGUAUCAUAACUAUAUCCCACAUCUUUAUGAAAUAAGCUGGUUUCCCUCAGAGCCACCAGUGCUGCUGUGUCAUAAAAUCUGAUAGAUACUGCCCUUAUCAUUAUUUCUGAAAACACCACAAACUUAUUUCAGUUAUACAAUCUAUGUGACUUGUGUUUUUAUCUCAAGGGUAAUCUCCCUUACUUAAAAUCUGACACAUUUUUAAUUAAUUUAUUUGUUUCUACAUUCAUUCAAAACAUACCAAGAUUUUUAUAUUGCCAGGUUCUUUAUAAAUGCUGCAAAUAUGACAUGAAUAGAGUAAAGAGGUCCUUUGCCUCAUGAGAUGAUAAAUCUAUUUUCUAGAAAUGACAAAUUUUUAACAAGUAAUUCUAUGUGUGAUAAAUGCAAUAACCAAGAGUGCUCUAAGUGCUUUGCAAGCAAAAGUUAAGAAGUCAAAUUUGGUCUUGAAUUUUAUAUUGAGGAUAUUUAUUCCUAUUUAAUUAGAUAAGGAACACUGAAGAAAGAAGAGGUUGCCUUAAAGAUAGCAGUCAGGAUUGGCUACCUAAGAGGGCCAGUAGAAGAUAAAAAUCAGAGCUCCUUAUACAAAAAUUAUUAUGAAUUUUAAGACUGCAAUAGCAGAUCAUUAAACCAAGUGUGUGAUCCCCAAAACGUGAGGUCCUGUGCGACUGCACAUGUCACAUGCCAUGAAGUCAGCCCUCACGCCUAUGAAGCAUCCAGGAAUAUAUGUCAAGCAGGCAGUAGAGUAUACCAGUCUGGAGCUCAAGAGAAAUAUUUUGUUAUAGACAUUUGCAAGUUGUGACAGAUUAAAGAUAGCCAUAAAUUGUCACUCUAAAAAAUCAAGAAAUGGAGUUUAUUUAUCUUCCUCCUUGAAUGUUAGCUGGCCCUAUGAUGGUUUAAUCAAUACAGUGAUGUAAAAGUGAUGUUGUGGUAGUUCUAGGCCCAGCCUUUAAAAGCACUGCUGCUUCUCUCUUGAAAUGCUCACACUUGGGACACUUUCCUCCAGAACCCAGAGGCUAAAUGGAUGUUCACUUUUAGAUGACAGCCCCAGCUGUCCCAGCGAAUAGGCAGCAUCAAGUAUCAGCCAUUUGAGUGAACCAUUUAGAUGUUCCAGUGCAAUUGAGCAGAAGAACCACCCAGCUGAACCUAGUCAAUCCACAGAACCAUGAGAGAUAAUGAAAUGGUUGUUGUUUUAGGCCAUGAAUUUUGCAGUAAUACACAGCAAUAAUAACCAAAACAGAAAUUAGUGAGGUGCUGAAACAACAAAAAGCUAAAACAUUUGGCAUUGGCUUUGGACCUAGAAAGCAGAUAGAAGGUAGUCCAAAGCAGACUGCUAGUGAAAAAUGGAAUGAUAGGGAGAAAAAUGUUUUUGAUGCUGGAAAGGAGGAAGAGGGCUUAUGUUUUUUGUGGACACAAAAAACAGAAAAUAAAGCAAAUGAAAAUUUUUUUUAUUUUAUUGAGCAGCAGAAUAGUGAAAGUGCCAACUGUUUUUCCUGAAUAAAAUAAGGUAUAUGUAGAGAGAGGAACUUAAAAAAAUAGCUUUCAAACAGGAUCUAGAGGGAGUAUUUCUUAACCAAGACUUGUUGGGAAUUUUUCUUAUUCCCAGUCUCCCUCAACAAAAGUCUCUCAAAGUAAGAAAUUACUUUAGGACAAAGAUCAAAUCCAAGGCACUGUCAGUAAAUGUGCAGUUUCAAAGUCAAGAUCUCAGAUAUGUGGCUAUAAGAACUUUUUGUUAAAAACUCAGAAGGAUUUGACAUUUGUAAAAAACUCAGGUGUGCCUCUUUGAAACUUUCUUCUAGACAAUGAGGCUUCUAUAACUCUCUGUUCAAAGUAGGGAAAGGCCUUUUAUAAAGAAACUUUGGUGUCGCUUUUGUCCAGGAAAAUGGCUUAUAUUUUUAUACUCAGGAAAACCACAAAGUAUCUAUAGGAAGUGUACCAAUUUGUACUAAACAAACAAAGAAAAACAGUGACAGUUCAAAAAUUAAGAGAUCUUUGAGACACUCAAUUUUCAACAAAAAGAACACAGCCUGAGAAAGUCACUCAGCUACACAUGUGGGCUGUUUCUUAGGGAAAAGAGAGACAUAUGGAAGAGCCAGAAGCCCAGAGGAAAAAGCUAAGAGGCAGAGAGAAUCAACCCAAGAAAGCUGGAGGAAACCCUAACCAAGGAACCCACAUCUGCUCACCUAAAUUUCAGGAUGUUUAUGAACCAGUGGCUGCUAUUUGCCACUGUACUUUUGGAAUGCGUGUCUAUCAAAUUCUAUUGUCCUUGUCUCACUAUUACAUACUGAGUUUGUGGGGGCCAGAUAACUUGUUUUCUAGUUCAUAGCUCUUCAUCUCAAGAGUAGCCUGAGGUGCCUUAUUCACACCUGGAUCUGAUUUAGAUAAUGGAAUGCUGAACAUUGAACCUAAUUCAGUCACAAAUUGAGACUUUGAGGGUCAUGGGGAAUGGUCAGGGUAUUUUGCAUGUAGAAUGAAUUUAAAUAAUUUAUGACUGAGGGAUCACUGUUGUGGGCUAAAAAUGACCAAACACGUUUUAUUACUCUUUCCAUCAACAUGUGGCAUUUAUUUUCAUUCCCUCUUGAAUCUGGGUUGGCCCUGUGACAGCUUAAAUAGAAUGUGGUGGAAGUGAUGAUAUACCAGUUACAGACACACUUUUUAAGAGGAUUGCAGCAUCCAGGUCCCCCUCUAAGGUUUCUCAUUCUUGGAACAAUUCUUGGAACUCACCCAUCAUACUGUGAGAAACCCAAGCCACAUGUAUAGGACACAUGUUGAUGAUCCAAUUGACAGUCUCAAGCGAACUCUUUGCCAAUAACCAGCAUCAAAUGCUGCCAGGUAAAUGGGAAAUCUUGGCUGUCCCAGCACAAUUGAGCCCAUAGAUGAUGCAGCCAAAUCCAAUUUAUAAGAAACAAGCAACCCCAUUUAGUCCAGUCAACACUAAAAAUAGCGUGAAAUAAUGAAAUAGUUAAGCCAGUAACUUUUGGAGUGGUUUGUUAUAAAAUAAUAGAUAAUUAAAAUAGGAGUCAGCUGUGUAUAGAGGUUAAUGAAGCCAUGAGAUGGUUAAGACAAUCAAUAUGUGACAUGAAAGAAAAAAGGCUAUCUUAGUCUGUUUUCUGUUACCUGAAUUCCAUAAACUGAGUAAUUUAUAAAGAAAAUAAAUGUAUUUAUUUCUUACAGUUCUAGAGGCUGAUAAGUCCAAGCAUAUGGUGCCAGCAUCUGGUGAGGCCUUCUUGCUGUGUAAUCUCAUGGCAGAAGAGUGGAAGGACAAGUGAGCACAUGCAAAAGGGAUUGUACAAGAAACCUUCAAAAAAGGAGAUGCAUCCUUCCUUGUUCCUGGCAGUCUUGCAUUUGAGGAAAUCAGUAUGCUCCAACUUAGGUGAGUUAGGCCACUGGCCAAUUUUUUUUUUUUUCUGUAGCCCUCCUCUACUCUGAGUUCCUAAUUCCACUUGUUCUGAAUUUUUUUUGGUGACGCAUUGUCUCCAUUAUUGAACUUAGUCCUUUCAAAAAUUAGCAAAGCUGGGAAUUUUCAUCCUAUUCUUUUCCUACUUUCAGAACUUUGAACUUUGAAUUUUCAGGAAGCCAUGAAGAAUGGAGUAAGAUUCUAGGACCAGUUAACAAGAACAUGUAAAAUAAUUUGUUUGUAAAAUAAUCUUAUGAGGCUAAAGCACAAGCCAGAGCAGAUUUUUUUCAAAAUGCAUAAGCAACACUUGUUCAAUUCCACCUGCUGCAGUUAAAGAAAAGUAAGCAAAAGGGAACACUGACAAAGUAAUUAUUUCUAGCUAUCAAAUGUCCAUUCAUUGAUUUCUAGCCAAAGCAGAGAGAAUCAGGAAGUUUCUAUAAAGGGCAAUGAGUUUCCACAAUACAGAAUGUCUGUGUUGGCUCAACUCCUACCAGUUACCAAACUCCCUAAUCAUCCUCAAUACUUUCACAAUAAGUGCAAAUGCUUUCAAAGUUUAAAUAGAUGCAUCAAAAAAUAUGUGCCAGAUAGCAAUAUUUGAACACUUUUCACUAAGUGCUAAAAGAUUUUAGUUUUGUAUACUAACUGUUAACAUGGAUUAAAACCAACAAAUAAAAACACAAUUGCAAUGCUACUUGUGCUACUGGCCAACUUAGCACCAAAUCACUAAUAACAAUAAAAUUUUUCAAAAUCUUAAUCAAAAUUUCCCCAAAUUAAAAGAAAGCCAAUCAAUCUACAAAUUGUAAAGACUGUAAAAUUAGAUCAAUUAAACUCAACUGGGGAGAGAUUUUAUUUUCCAAGGCACAUUUGGCAGUAUCUAAAGACAUUUUUGUUUGUCACAAAUGAAGGAGGGGGUGCUACCGGUGUCUAGUGGGUAGAGAACAGGGAUGCUGCGAAACAUCCUCUUAUACCUAGGCCAGCCCCCUACAACAAAAAAUUAUUGGCAUAAAGUGUCAAUGGUGCCAGAUUUUAGAAAUCCUGAGUUGGAGUUACCAUAAAGUCCAAUUUAUUUUCCUUUAUUUACAGAGCACCCUCUGGUUUAUAACGAUAACAUCAUAGCAUCAGUAUGUAGGAAGAAAUGUAUUUUCUAAUCCAUUAUGGUUUUCAGGGAUGAAGAGAAUUAUUAUUGCUGUAUCUGAAAAUAAUACCACACCAUUAAGAAUGUAAGUGAAAAGGAAGUGUCUAAGGCACUGGAAUCUUUGUACAACUUAAUCGUUUAGAUAAAUUUGAAAUUUAAAAAUGCUUUAAAAUAGGGAUAAACUCUCCAAGAUUCUGAGUUUACAAAAAAAUUUCCAGUGUUUUAAGCAAUUACUUUUCUUAUGUAAAUCCCAGAUAAGAUGUAGAGGUACUUAUCAACAAACUGACUCCAGAUUUCUAUCAAUGAGCCUAAUAAUAUUAUAAUGAUAGUUUAAAUACUAGGCUGAAGGACAUUAAUAAUGGAGAUUAAAGUAAAAGAUGUAUAUUUAAAUUAAUUCAGUUAAAUUUUGUUAAUUGAUACUCAUUUCCAUUAAUUCUGUUUUUGCAACCUUUCAGACUUAUCUUUUAGUCUCCAGAGGCAGAAAAAAAGCAGAAAAGGUUGUUGAAAUUCUUCACAUUGAUUUCAGGGCAAUGAUCUCAAACGGCGCAGUGGGAACCCGCAAAUUUAAGAGGGUAGUUUCCCUGCACAAGCCCUUUUUUUGCCUGCUGCCAUCCGUGUAAGAUGUGACUUGCUCCUCCUUGUCUUCUACCAUGAUUGUGAGGCCUCCCCAGUUAUGUGGAACUCAAAGCUAGAGGAAACCAAAGUCAUAGAACAUCUGAACUCUGUCCAAACAUCGGUCGUAUUUCAAAAUUUCAGAGCCUCAGACUUCCAUGAUAAUAUCUGCCUAGUCUUUAGAAGAGUGUAUGGAAGUGUUCAAGAACCUUUCCUGAAACAACUUCUAUUACAGACACUGCUUCUUCAUGGUUAUUCCAUCAGAUUGCAAUCACUUAUAUGUUUUUUUCCACUCUUCCUUAUAUUAUGAGCACUUUUCACGUAGGGGUUCAUCUCUUUAAUAAUCAUAGCUCCCAACACAAUUGUAGGCUUAUAUUAGAUGCUCGAUAAAGAUGAGUUGAGUUAACAUGUAAAGUAAUGAAUGAGUAAGGAAAAAUAGAAUAGUUUCGAAUUAAUGCAUGUUACUGCUACUGUAAAUUUAAUGUUUUCAUUUCUAUUACUAUUUAUAUAUAAAUUUAAUUAAUUGUUAACUUUCUUUGCCAUCCAUACAUCUAUUUAUCUGCUCAUUUGAAAAUCUCUUUCCUGUUUCCUAUUAUUCAAAAUAUUAAAAGCAAAUAUUACUUAAAUAUUUAAAUCACUCUUUUUCCAUGUUAAGUUUCUCAGGAUGCAGAAUGUUGCUGUACACUGAGAAAUAUUAGGCGAUACAAAAUGGCUACUAUAACGUAAUGUUCUAGAAAAUGAUAAAAGUCAAACCCAUUGGUUUUUGCUGCCAACACAAGUUUGUCAAUGUAAUUAAUGCCCUUUAGCCUGGGAGGGUUGUAUGACAGGAAAAAUGGCAUCAAAGCCAUUUUUAUUUAAAAAAUAAAUUUAAUAUUACUUGAUAAUAAGGGAGCUAUAUAAGCAAAAAUCUUAGAAUUUUCUUUUUCUUUUUUUUCCUUAGUUUCACAUCUUUCUACAUAGUAUCCAAAUCCCAGUUGUUGAUACUAAUUUUCUUGCCUUCUUACCCUUAACAAGUUUGGAGACAAAGUUAAUAUCAUUAGUAGUAUGUAAACUAAUUCCUAAAGCAAAAGUCUCUAAAAGUGUGAUCCAUGUCCCAUUUUUUAUUGGUCUGCAAUGAGGUAAGCACAGAAAUUUUAAUCACCUCCACGCAUACCUUCAAUGAGCAACAUGUACAGUUUUUUGAGACUCUUCUCUCUUUUCCUGUUAUUUUCUGAUUGCAUUUAUAAAAAUGCAAUUUUGUGUUUGUUGAAUCUGAUGAUAAAAAAUGAGGAAACACCGCAUAUUCUCACUCAUAGGUGGGAAUUGAACAAUGAGAUCACAUGGACA